UAGGGAAUCUUCCACAAUGGACGCAAGUCUGAUGGAGCAACGCCGCGUGAGUGAAGAAGGUUUUCGGACCGUAAAGCUCUGUUGUUGGUGAAGAAGGAUAGAGGUAGUAACUGGCCUUUAUUUGACGGUAAUCAACCAGAAAGUCACGGCUAACUACGUGCCAGCAGCCGCGGUAAUCGUAGGUGGCAAGCGUUGUCCGGAUUUAUUGGGCGUAAAGCGAGCGCAGGCGGAAGAAUAAGUCUGAUGUGAAAGCCCUCGGCUUAACCGAGGAAUUGCAUCGGAAACUGUUUUCUUGAGUGCAGAAGAGGAGAGUAGAACUCCAUGUGUAGCGGUGGAAUGCGUAGAUAUAUGGAAGAAUACUAGUGGCGAAGGCGGCUCUCUGGUCUGCAACUGACGCUGAGGCUCGAAAGCAUGGGUAGCGAACAGGAUUAGAUACCCUGGUAGUCCAUGCCGUAAACGAUGAGUGCUAAGUGUUGGGAGGCUUCCGCCUCUCAGUGCUGCAGCUAACGCAUUAAGCACUCCGCCUGGGGGAGUACGACCGCAAGGUUGAAAC
rnacentral:rRNA from 1 species